UUCCUUAAUCUUCCGUUUUCUUUUAUUUACACCAAUACAAGAGAGAAGAGGUCAGAUCCUUCUUCCCUAUUUCCCCGACCUAAUUCUUCGCUUUUCCUUCCCCAGAUUCCUCCCAUCAUUCAUCCCCUAAUCUUCCGUUUUUUUUAUUUACACCAAUACAAGAGAGAAGAAGUAAGAUCCUUCACUUAAGGAUCUGCAAUUUCCCUAUUUCCCCGACCUAAUUCUUCGCUUUUCCUUCCCCACGAUGUUACGAAUCUUCCACCUAUCUUCCUCCCCAGAUUCCUCCCAUCAUUCAUCUGCUGCUUCAUAUGAGGAUUUACACGCUCAACAGCUGGAAGAAGAGUUGCAAUCAACAGCAUUCAAUGAAUAUGAACAUGACUUGCGCUCAAUAUUUAAGCCAAGGGGGUAUUUUGCUAUUUAAGCACUACCGUAGAGGCAGACACUCACCACAGAAUAACUGUCUCUUCAAGUCCACCUUCAGCAAUGGAAUCUCGCCUUUUAAUCUCCCAAAUCACAACUGAGAAAAAACAAUGGAGUUGUAAAGUUUGUGUUAUUGAAAAGUUGAAUACAAGAGAGUCAAAGAGCAAACCUGGAACCUUGUACAAGCCUAUAACAUUACAAGAUGAAGCGGUUACUCAUUUUUAUUAUUUCUGAACAUCAAAAUUAAUUCUAUGUUGUUAAAAUGAUUGAUUAUAUUUUCAAAUAGUUUUUGACAUUUUCUUUGAAAUAAUUAUAGGGCAACAAAGUUCAAGGAAUGACUUAUCAAAAUGAUAUUGAACUACUUGAUGAAAGGCUCAAGUUAUACUCCACAUAUAUUGUCUCUAAUGCAUUAGUCUCUCGUGCGAAUCAAUUUUUCAAUGUCCCAGAUGAGAGAUAUUUAUCCAAAAUGCAGCACAAUGAUAGAUAAUAUAAAGCCCCAAUCCACGGAUUUAGCAAUACUAAGCCUAUUUGUGAUACGAGUAUUCCAUGAUUUGAGGAAAAGAAAAAAGAUUGGUGCUACACAAGAUAGGGGGAAUCAAGGUACCUCCAAGAGCGAGAUUGAAGAUGAGAACAGAGCGCCAAACGAACUUAGAACGACGCAUCUCGGUGUAAAAAGGAGGAGCCUCCAUCUUCUGCGAUUCUCCUGCCAUGUUGGACUGAAACACAAUCACAGCGAACUCUUUGCUUGGACAAACUUGCUAAUUGUCAGGUAACAGCAAUCGAUGACCCUUCAGCCGGCACCAUUGCCAGCAUUGAUCAGUGACCCCGUGAGAACUAAGAGGCGAGAUUACGAGAAACACUAUUCUGUGACGGACUGACGGUUGCCGGUUGCUGCUCCUCGACCCUUGCCUCUAGCCACUACUGAGUUGUUUUCAUUGCCCUGUGACCCUAACCGGCAAAGGACCACAAGGAGGUAAACCAGCUUAGACCCAUAGCUGACCGGCUCAAACCCAGGAGUUUGAGGUUCAAAUUAAACCUAUGACCUCUCGGCGCACUGGAGAAGUCUUAUAUAUAGACCAAAAAGGAAGCAGAGGAGGAGGGAGAGUAACAACAUAUCAGAAACUAACAGAAGUGAAUUGGGAUGGUGCCAGCUGUUAUUGAUCGGUAUCUCCUGAAAAAUCUUGUUAAUUAUUGUUAUGAAUAUGAUUACAUUGAUUUGGCUGAACGUUGUUAUCCUUAAAUCUUGUUGAAACUUGUAAAUUCUUAUUGGAUGUUAUUGUGUUAGACUGUGA